rnacentral:rRNA from 1 species
AGCAGCCGCGGUAAUUCCAGCUCCAAUAGCGUAUAUUAAAGUUGUUGCAGUUAAAAAGCUCGUAGUUGAAUUUCGGGAUUGACGUGAUGGUCAUGCCUUAAGGGGUAUGAACUGUUACUGUUGAUUUCUCACCUUCUGGAGAAACUUGAUGUCCUUUAUUGGGUGUCUUGCGGAUCCAGGACCUUUACCUUGAAAAAAUUAGAGUGUUUAAAGCAGGCAUUUUUGCUCGAAUACAUUAGCAUGGAAUAAUAGAAUAGGACGGCAUGGUUCUAUUUUGUUGGUUUCUAGGAUCACCGUAAUGAUUAAUAGGGAUAGUUGGGGGCAUUAGUAUUCAAUUGUCAGAGGUGAAAUUCUUGGAUUUAUUGAAGACUAACUACUGCGAAAGCAUUUGCCAAGGAUGUUUUCAUUAAUCAAGAACGAAAGUUAGGGGAUCGAAGACGAUCAGAUACCGCCGUAGUCUUAACCAUAAACUAUGCCGACUAGGAAUCAGACGAUGUUAAU